GGGGGGGGGGGGGGGGGGGGGGGGAGGGGGAGCUGCCACCAUUGAUGACCGGAGUUACAACAGAGGGGGUUGUAAAUCAUCGACGGGCUUUUUGCUGCAACGUCGGCAGCCACAUGGCGCGGCGAGAUUGGCGGCGCUGCACCGGGUCGCGACGGGAUAGGCAGAGGAAAGGUGGGACAGCCGCGAGGCGAGAGGCACGAAGCAGGCAGCACGGCGGCGCUCGCGACGAUGCUGCAAGCAGGAGGGCAGGGCAGGGGAAAGGAGGAGACGGAGAUUGAAGACGAAGCGGAAGGAAGAAGAUUUCGCUGGAGAUCCAAUCGGGCGGCUAUAGGUGCCUGUAUCGGGCGGCUGGGGGCCGACCGGCCGAAACUUUCGGCCGGCGCACCGGCGCCCAGUACUGCCCCAAUUUGUAACACCCUACAUAACCACCGGACCGCAUUGGAUUUAUGGGCUGCUUGUACAGCGAGGGGAGCACCUAUUUGAGGCAUUCUGCGUCAAGAAGUCAUCCUUUCGCAGAGGAUUCGCGCGACUGGGCCGGCCCGUUAGGAUUGAAGUCAGCAAAAAUUCGUAGAAAGAAAACUGUGCACGAGCUGGAAUUUGAACUAUAGACCUCCCGUGUGUGUAGUGCCGAUCAAGCCUUCAUGGCAAAUAUUUAGCUCGAAGUCAAAUGAACUAAAAAUACUGGCAUAAAUUGAGCAUUACUUAAAAACUGCAAACACUUUUUUGAAAUUACAGAACAAAAUUUUGAAUUUUAGAUCAAUUUGAAAAUCCUGAUGAUUUUUUCUGUACGUGAACAAAAAAUUAAAUGGAAACCUUUUUUGUAAAGCGCGAACAAAUUUUCAAAUUUUAGAACAAUUUUGGAAAACGCAAACAUUUUUAAAUUGGUGAACAUAUUUUGAAAACAGGUACAACUUUUGAAAUGCAGAACAAAAUUUUGAACAUGAGAACAAUUUUAAAAUCCUGAAGAUUUUUGUGUACGUGAACAAAAAAUUGAAAAUGGAAUCUUUUUUGUAAAACGCGAGCAAAUUUUCAAAAUCCAGAACAUUUUUGAAAACACAAACAUUUUUAAAUCCGGACGUCGUCUGUGCGUUAACCAAGGGAAGCAGCACGCCAACGUAAGAAGUGUCGGCGACGCGCAAGAUUGGAUCGGGAGGGCGAGUUGUGGCGCUCGAAAAAAAAACCUAGCUCUGAUACCAUGUUAAGCUUCAUGCACUAGUCAGCGCAACCAAAAGUCUGAAAUUAUGGAAAGGGCUAGUGCAGUGCACAUAUAUUGUAACAUAUAUAGAGUACAAGACUUGGAGGGGAAGAAGUCUCUCUUAGAGAUAAGGUAGGAUUGUAUAGGAGAGAUUACAAACAAUCUUAACAAAUCCUAUCCUACCAUAACCUAUAAACAAAGACAACUGGAUGAAGACACUGCAGUUCGCUCACCUCCCACCACCAUGAGGGGCAUCCUUGGCGCACCAAGGCGAUCUUGCACCUGAUCCACCACCAAUUAGACACGAUCUGACAUGGUCGGCCCUAGCAGGUUCGAAAGGGCGUGCAAGACAUAAUAGCAUGCACACCAACCAGGGGUCAUACUUCCAAGAACAACGCCCCCAGGAGGAAGCGACAUUGAGGUCGCCAUCGUUUGAUCUAGGUUUUCACCCUGAGGACUAGAGCACAAGGAAUGACCCACGAGGGUGCCGCCCUUGUGGUCAGCGACAAAGGUCGUGCAACCUUUUUCAGCGCAACAAUCAUUGCUCAGGCACUUGUGCAACAAAGCAAAGAUACAACAACAAAAUCAUAUCGCCAUCUACUAUCGCGCCAGCCCAAAAACUUGUUUGACCUACCACCCUGGUUAUGGGUGGGAAGCCCGGAAACCUGGUUAGCCCACCACCUUGCGAACGGUGAACAUAUUUGGAAUUUUGUUCCAACAUACGAUUAGAAAAUGUAAAUGUCUUUCAAAUAAAUAUUCACGUGUUUAAAAUUUUCCUUUUUUAAAGAAGUUAAAAGGUUUACUUAUGCCAGAUACAAUUAACUUGCGUGUAUUACCUUUAUUCUAAAAGAAUUGUACUGUUUGAACAAACUAUAUCUCCUGCUGAAAAAACACAUAUUCCUUGAAUAUUUUUACAAAGACAAUGUCCAAAAGAAUUUUUUAGAUAAACAUAAAACUACAAAAAAAAUGAACCAAAAAACUGAAAGAGGAAUAAUGAAUAACUUUAGAAGUAAAGUUUUUUUCAAAAAGGAGGGUUUACCCCUGGCCUCUGCAUCAUCCCAUGCACACAGCCAUACUUAUUAAGGUUAGUGUCAAACAUCCAGUACGACGUACAUACAGUAACAAGCAAAAGAGCACAAUGCUCGAAAUAACCAGGCACUAACAAGAUACAAUGACUCAAUAUCAUUUUGUCGGUUGCACCCAUAGUCCAUUAACCCAUUGUCCUCCACGCGAAGAACGGUAGACCACACGCAAAAGUUGGUGGCUCUGUAGAUGACCUGCAAGAAGUUUUGGAAACUUGUAUUUGUUCAAGAUGAGGUCAUUACAACAAUUCCAUAAUGCCCAUAGUAAUUCGCGAACACCAACAUGUAUUUGUGCCUUAAGUACUGAGGGAACUACCGAACAUAUUCGUCAUGCUAGCUGGGGGUAGUAGAUUAAAAGCUUUAUUCACCAUACCAAUGUUGCAAAUGGGCAUGCUUGAAACAAAUGUUGAAUAGUUUCCUCCUGAUAACAAAAGCAACAUUUCUUGCAUCCCUCCCUGCCAACGACGACUGGCCAGGUUAUCCUUGGUGAGAACUAUACCGUUGUGCAGGAACCACAUAAAAAUCUUUAAUGAUUCACCCCUCCCCCCGCGUCGCCCCCGUGUGCGACCGGGGGGAAACCCUAGCCGCCGCCGGUCCAAGUUCUUCCCUCGUCCCCCCUCCCCCUCCUCGUUGCCGCCGGAUUCCGCUGGCGGGCAAAGCCCUACCGGCGUGGGCGGCGGCGAGGCUUCCUCUCUCCCCUGCGCAGUGGUGGAUGGCGCGGACCGGCACCGUCAGGUGGGGGCGCUGCGCUGCGUGGGGCAUGGCUGCGUUUGGCGGCGAGCUCGCUGGCGUGGAGGGCCACGUCGGAGAUGGUGGGGUGUGUCGGGCGUGGCGGCGCCAAUUCGGGGCAGUCGAGACCUUCGGCUGCUCGGCCGCGUUAGGCAGCGCGGGGAGAUGGCGGCGGCUUGGCUGGGGCGCCACGCAGGGUGUUCGCCGGGGUGGUGCUCCCCAGCAUGCUCUGGUGCGAAGCUGGUGGUGAGCCCUGUGCCGGGCAUGGAAGCGGUGGGGCGGGGCUGCCUCUGAUCUGGCGGCGCUGUGCUGUUGGCUUCCUGGUGGUUGCGUGCCCGGUGUCUCCGACGCUUGGAGCUCGCCGGGCGGCGCGGGUUGGGUUGUAGCCCGGUGUGGCUGCUGCUCCGGUCGUGGGUGGCCCCACAGCAGCUUGGCAGGACCGAGCUCGUCUCCCACCCCGCUGCAGGACCGACCUCGUCUCGUGCCCGGUGCUGCAGGACGGGUCGAUGGACGCCAGUUUUGGCCGGUCUAUUGGGUCUCAGCCAGGGGUGCGAAAGGUGGGGUCUUUCCGCUCGCCCCUUUGGUUGGGGUAGCAGCGGGUCUCGGGUGAGGUGGUGUCAAGGUCUUGGAUGCCGGGGGGGCGGCCCAGGUGGUGGCAGCGCGGUGCUCAUGGCCAAAGCCCGUGGCUCGGUGCUGCCCGAUGGCCAUGGCCAUGUGGGCAGUGUGCUAGCUGGGGUGUGGCGUUCGGUGGCGGUGAGUGUUGGCCGGGGUGAAAACCUCUAUCUUCGGACGGACUGGCGGCGGCGAAGCUCGUUCCCUUCUUGAAGGCGUUGUCGCGGCUCUCAUUGCCCGUCGUGUUGCUCCUCUGAUCCUCGGAUCGAGCGCUGGUGGCGCUCCGCUGUCGUAACUUUCCUGAAGGCGCCGCCUUGGAGCCCACGGUUCGUCGUAUGCAGCUUCAUAUCUUCGCGGUGGCGUGUUCACGGUUGAAGGCCCCGGUUGCUCUUGUAGUGCUAGGGGUGGUGUUGCCGUGCUCAGAAUGUAUCCUGCGUUGGGUGUGUGUGCGUGUGUUGUGUUGGCGUGCGUUUGUACCGGGUUGUUGAUGAUUGUUGCUUUAUAUAUAAAGCGGGGCGAAAGCCUUUUUGGUAAA